GCCAAUGUAAUUUUUAGUCUACAGAGUUGGAUUUGGUGAGUAACCUCCGAGUUGGAGCUGAGUGGGUUGGCGGGAGAUAUACUGACGCCGAGAGAAAGGAGAGAGAAGUAGAGAACCGGGACUUGGAGAGAAGGCUGAGGAAUAUUGACUAAAUCUUUCAAGACAUAAAUAUACACCAAAGAAGCGUAUGCUAAGCUUGGUGCUCGUACUUUAAGAGCCGUGAAUGAGAUCAUCAGGCAAAGCAAGAGAAAGCUUCAUCAAGGACCAAAACAGAGACAAGAUGGGGUGUCACAAAACAGGCCCCAUCUCCAUUUAAGCUACAAGGAACAUGCAUCUCUAGAUCGGACCCAACAAAAGAUCUUAACUUUGAGAUCAACAGAAGAAAGAGAAGGAAGCAGUUAGCAUAGCUAGAGAGCCAUGACAAAAACAAAGGAAAUAGAAAAAGGGGGAAAAUGGGGAAAAAAAAAAAAUCUAACACUGUUCAUCCUCAAAGAAGACAAUAACCAGAAAGCAGGAAUAUUUACCUUAUAAAGAAAUUGGGAAGUGGGUUAUGAUGAUCAAGGUGUGGAUUUGAUAGAUCUAACUCUGUCAAGGGAAGUUUAUGAGAAGCGCUCUCAUCACUAAUGCUAUUCAGUUGUGGAAAUUGGCAAACACAUGAGGGAUUUGGUGGAGGGUUUUCAAUGGAUAACAUCUGAUGCUAAGCUUCUCUCUUCUUGUGCUGUUUUUGCAAUAUUCACAAGCUUCACGGCAACUAUAGGUACUGCUAUUAUCUCUUCACUGGGCCUUAUCUUUAACCUCUUAGACUUCAGCAUAUAUAAACACUACUACAGCCAACCAACCCAAACCUCCCAGUCCAAACAAUAUAGGAGGACAACAUGACUCCUAGUCUACAUGUAUCUGCAGUUUGCGUUGAACUCUCUCAUCAACCUUACCAACCUCCAACCAAUCAUAGUCCAAUAACAACAAUCACCAAGACCAUGACAAUCGACAAUACCACACACACAACCGCCAAGCCAAGACAGCAGAAAGUCAGCCAAAAGCCAGAACAAUAACCUAAACUGUCGAACCAUGUAAUCCACCGAAAUCUUCAAUAUCAUUGCCAACAGCCACCAAAAAGAUGGCUAAUCCAUAAUAUUCAGUCUAACAUAGCCACUGAGUAGUCUAAAGGAGUUAAAUAUUGAGUUUCGGUGUUGAUAUUUACUGACCCUCCUCGCCUCCGACAGAUAUUUGACUAAGCCAGAAACAACAAAUAACACAAUACAAACACAAAAGCCACACUUAAAUUCAAAGAAAGAACCAAUCGAAAAAGUGAAAACAUAAAACCAUAGACAUAGUUGAAGAGUUGCUUGUGUUCCAUGUGCUUUCCCCUUCUUUUUCCUCUCCUUUUAAAAAUUGUUUUUUUGAAACUAAUCAACUUGUAUAAAAAAUUUACGUGGAUAAAAAAAAUUCUAAAAGUUUACAAAUUUUUAUAGAGAAAAUUACUUCUUACUCCCUGAGGUUUAACGUAAUUAACACUUCUGUCCCUCUAUUUUGACGACCCAGCACUUAAGUCCCUCACUUUCUCUUCCAUCCAAAUUCGUAGUCCUUCUGUCAAUUUAAACCGUUUGGUCAAAGAGUCAAAAGUGAAAGGUGAUAAUUUUUUUCAGAAAUACCAUUCUCUUAAUGUGAAAUUCCUAUUUUUUUUUCUCUUUCAUGUUUUCUCCAGUUGCAGAAGAAGAGAAAGAGUAGGAAGAAGAAGAAAAAAGAAGAAGAAGAAAAAGAAGAAGUUGCAAAAAGGGUAGGAAGAAGAAG
rnacentral:lncRNA from 1 species